AUACUGGUAAACUAGAGUUAGGUAGAGGUAAACGGAAUUCCAUGUGAAGCGGUGAAAUGCGUAGAUAUAUGGAAGAACACCACAGGCGAAGGCAUCUUACUGGGUCUAUACUGACGCUGAGGGACGAAAGCGUGGGGAGCAAACAGGAGUAUAUACCCUGGGAUUCCACGCCGUGAACGAUGAUCAUUAGUCGGUGGAGAGUUCACUGACGCAUCCAACGCAUUAAAUGAUCCGCCUGAAUAAUAUGCUCGCAAAAGUGAAACUUAAACGAAUUGACGGGGACCCGCACAAGCGGUGGAGCAUGUGGUUUAAUUUGAAUAUACGCGGAGAACCUUACCCACUCUUGACAUCCUUUGCAAUGCUAUAGAGAUAUAGCAGAGGUUAACGGAGUGACAGAUGGUGCAUGGUUGUCGUCAUCUCAUGUCGUGAUAUGUUUGGUCAAGUCCUGCAACCACCGCCACCCCUAUCUUCAUUUACUAACGAGUCAUGUCGAGGACUCUAGAGAUACUGCCUGGGUAACUGGGAGGAAGGUG
rnacentral:rRNA from 2 species